UACGUAGGGGGCAAGCGUUGUCCGGAAUCAUUGGGCGUAAAGCGCGUGUAGGCGGCCCGGUAAGUCCGCUGUGAAAGUCCAGGGCUCAACCCUGGAAUGCCGGUGGAUACUGUCGGGCUCGAGUCCGGAAGAGGCGAGUGGAAUUCCUGGUGUAGCGGUGAAAUGCGCAGAUAUCAGGAGGAACACCGAUGGCGAAGGCAGCUCGCUGGGACGGUACUGACGCUGGAGACGCGAAAGCGUGGGGAGCAAACAGG
rnacentral:rRNA from 1 species